rnacentral:rRNA from 1 species
UGAACGCUGGCGGCGUGCUUAACACAUGCAAGUCGUACGAGAACGCUUCAGCUUGCUGAAGUUAGUAAAGUGGCGCACGGGUGAGUAACGCGUGGGUAAUCUACCUCUGAAUUCGGAAUAACAUUGCGAAAGCGAUGCUAAUACCGGAUAACAUCUUUAAAUUUUCGAAUUUUAAGAUCAAAGGGGGUCUCUACAUGUAAACUUCUGUUUGGGGAUGAGCCCGCGUACCAUUAGCUUGUUGGUAGGGUAACGGCCUACCAAGGCCACGAUGGUUAGCUGGUCUGAGAGGAUGAUCAGCCACACUGGAACUGACACACGGUCCAGACUCCUACGGGAGGCAGCAGUGAGGAAUUUUGCGCAAUGGGGGAAACCCUGACGCAGCAACGCCGCGUGAGUGAUGAAGGCUUUCGGGUCGUAAAGCUCUGUCAAGUGGGAAGAACCAGGAAAAUAUUAAAAUAUUUUUCUCUGACGGUACCACUGAAGGAAGCACCGGCUAACUCC